CAGCAGCCGCGGGAAAACGAGGGGGGCAAGCGUUGUUCGGAAUUAUUGGGCGUAAAGGGCUCGCAGGCGGUUUCUUAAGUCUGAUGUGAAAGCCCCCGGCUCGACCGGGGAGGGUCAUUGGAAACUGGGAAACUUGAGUGCAGAAGAGGAGAGUGGAAUUCCACGUGUAGCGGUGAAAUGCGUAGAGAUGUGGAGGAACACCAGUGGCGAAGGCGACUCUCUGGUCUGUAACUGACGCUGAGGAGCGAAAGCGUGGGGAGCGAACAGGAUUAGAUACCCCCGUAGUCCCUGUCUCUUAUAC
rnacentral:rRNA from 1 species